UACGAAGGGGGCUAGCGUUGCUCGGAAUCACUGGGCGUAAAGCGCACGUAGGCGGAUUCUUAAGUCAGGGGUGAAAUCCCGGGGCUCAACCUCGGAACUGCCUUUGAUACUGCAAAUCUCGAGUCCGGAAGAGGAGAGUGGAAUUCCUGGUGUAGCGGUGAAAUGCGCAGAUAUCAGGAAGAACACCAAUGGCGAAGGCAGCUCUCUGGGACGGUACUGACGCUGAGGAGCGAAAGCGUGGGGAGCGAACAGG
rnacentral:rRNA from 1 species